UACAUGGGGUGCAAACGUUGCUCGGAAUUAUUGGGCGUAAAGCGCACGUAGGCGGUUCGUUAAGUCGAAUGUGAAAGCCCCCGGCUCAACUGGGGAGGGUCAUUCGAUACUGUUCGACUCGAAGGCAGGAGAGGGAAGUGGAAUUCCCGGUGUAGUGGUGAAAUGCGUAGAUAUCGGGAGGAACACCAGUGGCGAAGGCGACUUCCUGGCCUGUUCUUGACGCUGAGGCGCGAAAGCUAGGGGAGCAAACGGG
rnacentral:rRNA from 1 species